rnacentral:rRNA from 1 species
UACGUAGGGCGCAAGCGUUGUCCGGAAUUAUUGGGCGUAAAGAGCUCGUAGGCGGUCCGUCACGUCUGCCGUGAAAACCCGAGGCUUAACCUCGGGCCUGCGGUGGAUACGGGCGGGCUAGAGGUAGGUAGGGGAGAAUGGAAUUCCCGGUGUAGCGGUGAAAUGCGCAGAUAUCGGGAGGAACACCGGUGGCGAAGGCGGUUCUCUGGGCCUUACCUGACGCUGAGGAGCGAAAGCGUGGGGAGCGAACAGG